rnacentral:tRNA from 1 species
AUAUAGCUCAGUGGUAGAGCACUUGCCUAGCAUGCUGGAGAUCCUGGAUUCCAUUCCCAGCAU